CCUACGGGAGGCAGCAGUGGGGAAUAUUGCACAAUGGGGGAAACCCUGAUGCAGCGACGCCGCGUGAGUGAAGAAGUAAUUCGUUAUGUAAAGCUCUAUCAGCAGGGAAGAAAAUGACGGUACCUGAGUAAGAAGCUCCGGCUAACUACGUGCCAGCAGCCGCGGUCAUACGUAGGGGGCAAGCGUUCUCCGGAUUUACUGGGUGUAAAGGGAGCGUAGAAGGCAGUGCAAGGCUGGAGUGAAAGGCGGGGGCUCAACCCCCGGACUGCUCUGGAAACUGUACGGCUGGAGUGCAGGAGAGGUAAGUGGAAUUCCUAGUGUAGCGGUGAAAUGCGUAGAUAUUAGGAGGAACACCAGUGGCGAAGGCGGCUUACUGGACUGUAACUGACGUUGAGGCUCGAAAGCGUGGGGAGCAAACAGGAUUAGAUACCCCUGUAGUC
rnacentral:rRNA from 1 species